AUUGAACGCUGGCGGCAGGCCUAACACAUGCAAGUCGAGCGGAUGAAGGUAGCUUGCUCCUUUAUUCAGCGGCGGACGGGUGAGUAAUUCCUAGGAAUCUGCCUAGUAGUGGGGGAUAACGUCCGGUAACGGGCGCUAAUACCGCAUACGUCCUGAUGGAGAAAGAUAGGGAUCUGCGAACCCCAGGCUAUCAGAUAAGCAUAGGUCGGAUGAGCUAGUUGGUGGGGUUAAGGCCUAUCAAGGCGACGGUGCGUAACUGGUAUGAGAGGGUGAUCAGUCACACUAGAACUGAGACACGGUCCCGACUCCUACGGGAGGAAGCAGUGGGGAAUAUUGGACAAUGGGCGAAAGCCUGAUCUAGCAAUGCCGCGUGUGUGAAGAAGGUCUUCGGAUUGUAAAGCACAUUAAGUUGGGAGGAAGGGAAGUAAGUUAAUACCUUGAUGUUUUGACGUUACCAACAUAAGAAGCACCGGCUAAAUUCGUG
rnacentral:rRNA from 1 species